rnacentral:rRNA from 1 species
AGACAGCAGCAGCCGCGGUAAUACGUAGGACCCGAGCGUUGUCCGGAUUUAUUGGGCGUAAAGCGAGCGCAGGCGGUUAGAUAAGCCUGAAGUUAAAGGCUGUGGCUUAACCGAAGUACGCUUUGGAAACUGUUUAACUUGAGUGCAAGAGGGGAGAGUGGAAUUCCAUGUGUAGCGGUGAAAUGCGUAGAUAUAUGGAGGAACACCGGUGGCGAAAGCGGCUCUCUGGCUUGUAACUGACGCUGAGGCUCGAAAGCGUGGGGCGCAAACAGGAUUAGAUACCCCUGUAGUCCCUGUCUCUUAUACC